UGGAGGCUGUGGCCCCGAAGGUCACAGUGCGGUUUUUGUGGCCGCCAACAGAUAGGGCCUUCUGUGAGUGCUGUGAGCACAUUGCAAUUAACCACAAUAUCAUAUUUAACUCCUCGAAGGCAAUCUCUCUGACUUAAGGGUGAAGAAUUGGUACUUCUACAGCACAGCCAAGCAUGAGCCAAAAUGAUUAAUCAGAAGAUACAUCUAAAUCCCUGCCGCAGAAACAAACACAUAUGGAUGCCAUCCUUUAUGAGAUUCCAGAGUCUGGGAACUCUAGUGAGCCAAUAAUAACCUAAGAAGAGAGCAUGGGUGAAGCUUAAUUACUGAAGAUCUUGGACACCAUGUGAAAGAGCUUGACCUUGAUUCGGUAGGAAAUAGGGUGUCACUGAAGGAGCAGAGGAAUGUCACUGGAAUAUAUAUAUAUGUAUGCCUAAAGCUCUUCCCUUUUGAGGGUGUUAUGUAUUUCCACGGACAAAAUUAAAUUAAAAUUCUGUCCUCUA